rnacentral:rRNA from 1 species
CCUACGGGAGGCAGCAGUGAGGAAUAUUGGUCAAUGGGCGCGAGCCUGAACCAGCCAAGUCGCGUGAGGGAAGACGGUCCUAUGGAUUGUAAACCUCUUUUGUCGGGGAGCAAAAGACGCCACGCGUGGCGUUACGAGAGUACCAGAACAAAAAGCAUCGGCUAACUCCGUGCCAGCAGCCGCGGUAAUACGGAGGAUGCGGGCGUAAUCCGGUUUUAUUGGGUUUAGAGGGUGAGCAGGCGGAAGACAAAGUCAGCGGUAAAAUUGGGAGGCUCAACCUCUUAGAGCCUUUGAAACUGGUUAUCUUGAGUGAGCGAGAAGUAUGCGGAAUUCGUGGUGUAGCGGUGAAAUGCGUAGAUAUUAGGAGGAACACCAGUGGCGAAGGCGGCUUACUGGACUGUAACUGACGUUGAGGCUCGAAAGCGUGGGGAGCAAACAGGAUUAGAUACCCCAGUAGUC